rnacentral:rRNA from 1 species
AAAUUCGGAUUAAUACCCCAUAACAUCAUAGAAAGGCAUCUUUCAGUGAUUAAAGCUCCGGCGGUUAAAGAUGGGCAUGCGUGCCAUUAGCUAGUUGGUGAGGUAACUGCUCACCAAGGCUACGAUGGCUAGGGGGUCUGAGAGGAUGAUCCCCCACACUGGUACUGAGACACGGACCAGACUCCUACGGGAGGCAGCAGUGAGGAAUUUUGCGCAAUGGGGGAAACCCUGACGCAGCAACGCCGCGUGAGUGAAGAAGGCCUUCGGGUCGUAAAGCUCUGUCGAGUGGAAAAAAAGAUUUAUGGUUAAUAGCCAUAAGUUCUGAUGGUACCACUAAAGGAAGCACCGGCUAACUCCGUGCCAGCAGCCGCGGUAAUACGUAGGUGGCGAGCGUUGUCCGGAAUUACUGGGUGUAAAGGGCGUGUAGGCGGGAUUGCAAGUCAGAUGUGAAAUUCUUGAGCUUAACUCAAGAGCUGCAUCUGAAACUGUGAUUCUUGAGUACUGGAGAGGAUAGUGGAAUUCCUAGUGUAGCGGUGAAAUGCGUAGAUAUUAGGAGGAACACCAGUGGCGAAGGCGACUAUCUGGACAGUAACUGACGCUGAGGCGCGAAAGCGUGGGGAGCAAACAGGAUUAGAUACCCUGGUAGUCCACGCUGUAAACGAUGGAUACUAGGUGUAGGAGGUA